UACAGAGGGGGCAAGCGUUGUUCGGAAUUACUGGGCGUAAAGGGCGCGUAGGUGGCCUUCUAAGUUGAACGUGAAAUCCCUGGGCUCAACCCAGGAACUGCGUCCAAGACUGGGAGGCUUGAAUCCGGGAGGGGGUAGCGGAAUUCCCAGUGUAGCGGUGAAAUGCGUAGAUAUCUGGAGGAACACCGGUGGCGAAGGCGGUUCUCUGGGCAUUACCUGACGCUGAGGAGCGAAAGCAUGGGGAGCGAACAGG
rnacentral:rRNA from 1 species